rnacentral:rRNA from 1 species
UAGAAUUCCAGGUGUAGCGGUGAAAUGCGUAGAGAUCUGGAGGAAUACCGGUGGCGAAGGCGGCCCCCUGGACGAAGACUGACGCUCAGGUGCGAAAGCGUGGGGAGCAAACAGGAUUAGAUACCCUGGUAGUCCACGCCGUAAACGAUGUCGACUUGGAGGUUGUGCCCUUGAGGCGUGGCUUCCGGAGCUAACGCGUUAAGUCGACCGCCUGGGGAGUACGGCCGCAAGGUUAAAACUCAAAUGAAUUGACGGGGGCCCGCACAAGCGGUGGAGCAUGUGGUUUAAUUCGAUGCAACGCGAAGAACCUUACCUGGUCUUGACAUCCACGGAAGUUUUCAGAGAUGAGAAUGUGCCUUCGGGAACCGUGAGACAGGUGCUGCAUGGCUGUCGUCAGCUCGUGUUGUGAAAUGUUGGGUUAAGUCCCGCAACGAGCGCAACCCUUAUCCUUUGUUGCCAGCGGUCCGGCCGGGAACUCAAAGGAGACUGCCAGUGAUAAACUGGAGGAAGGUGGGGAUGACGUCAAGUCAUCAUGGCCCUUACGACCAGGGCUACACACGUGCUACAAUGGCGCAUACAAAGAGAAGCGACCUCGCGAGAGCAAGCGGAUCUCAUAAAGUGCGUCGUAGUCCGGAUUGGAGUCUGCAACUCGACUCCAUGAAGUCGGAAUCGCUAGUAAUCGUGGAUCAGAAUGCCACGGUGAAUACGUUCCCGGGCCUUGUACACACCGCCCGUCACACCAUGGGAGUGGGUUGCAAAAGAAGUAGGUAGCUUAACCUUCGGGAGGGCGCUUACCACUUUGUGAUUCAUGACUGGGGUGAAGUCGUAACAAGGUAACCGUAGGGGAACCUGCGGUUGGAUCACCUCCUUACCUUAAAGAAGC